UGGGGAAUAUUGGACAAUGGGCGCAAGCCUGAUCCAGCAAUGCCGCGUGUGUGAAGAAGGCCUUCGGGUUGUAAAGCACUUUUAUCAGGAGCGAAACGCUGUCGGCUAAUACCCGGCGGAACUGACGGUACCUGAGGAAUAAGCACCGGCUAACUUCGUGCCAGCAGCCGCGGUAAUACGAAGGGUGCAAGCGUUAAUCGGAAUUACUGGGCGUAAAGCGUGCGUAGGCGGUUUCUUAAGUCUGCUGUGAAAUCCCCGGGCUCAACCUGGGAACUGGCAGUGGAUACUGGGAGGCUAGAGUGUGUCAGAGGGUGGUGGAAUUCCCGGUGUAGCGGUGAAAUGCGUAGAGAUCGGGAGGAACAUCAGUGGCGAAGGCGGCCACCUGGGACAACACUGACGCUGAGGCACGAAAAGCGUGGGGAGCAAACAGGAUUAGAUACCCUGGUAGUCCACGCCCUAAAAGCGAUGCGAACUGGAUGUUGGUCUCAACUCGGAGAUCAGUGUCGAAGCUAACGCGUUAAGUUCGCCGCCUGGGG
rnacentral:rRNA from 1 species